UAAACGACUCUCGGCAACGGAUAUCUCGGCUCACGCAUCGAUNAAGAACGUAGCAAAAUGCGAUACUUGGUGUGAAUUGCAGAAUCCCGUGAACCAUCGAGUUUUUGAACGCAAGUUGCGCCCGAAGCCAUUCGGCCGAGGGCACGUCUGCCUGGGCGUCACGC
rnacentral:rRNA from 1 species